GUGGAGGGUUGCCAGGUCUGUGCAACAAAACCAUCCCAAAAAUAGUGUAAUCACAGCACAAGUGUAAAAGUUUCCCAAUCACAGACGUGGCAACAAUGAGUCGAGCGUCGUUACAUGGCUAGCGGCUGUGUGACAGACAGUUGACGUUUGUGAGUGCAUUUUAAAGUUUUAUGACUUUCUAUUGAGUUUUGACAUGCUUCACUGCCGUCGACGACGGGACACCGGACCAUAUGAACAGUGACAUGGCAGCCGUCGAUUGAGUCAGCCCUGCAAACCUGUUGGUAGAUACGCAGUGGACAGUGGAAAUAUGCACUCAUCCCAGAUGAUGUCCUGCUGGCAGAGAGGCCUUACCAGGGUCUCUAAUGUGGAGCCCAUCCAGGUUUAGGAGUUCCAUUUAGCAGAAUGAAAGUUUUAUAUAAGGCCUACUGUUAAUUGAAAAUGUAAUGUUGUUUUUCUGAUGUUAAACAAACAUGUUCUGUUGUAAAUAGUUGUAAAAGGUACUUUAAGUAAUGUAGCUAUAAAACGAUGUAUUUUAAUGUAAAAACUAGGGCUGUCAAUCGUUUUUUUUUUUUUUUUUUUUUUUUAAUCGCGGUUAAUCGCACACCCUUAAUCGCGAUUAAUCGCACACCCUUAAUCGUGAUUAAUCGCACACUUAUCGUGAAAUUAAGCAUGCACCAUUUAUCUGGUUUAACAUGUCCAUUUUGCCAUCAUUGCCUAUAUCCAGCAAAGUAAACCAUCAGACUGAAGUGUAAUUUUCACAAAACUGUAUUUUUCAACUUUUUUCAAGGUAAAUUUAGAUGUCUUUCCAAAAAAGGACACUAAAUAACCAAAUGAUAUUUAAUAUAAUUCAUACAUUUAUGUACACCAAAGCAGCCAUAAAAAAAAAAUCAACAAUGCUUUACAGUUUUUUCAACUAUUUAACAAUAGUUUUCAGGUACAGAAACUGCACAAAGUAAUCAAAUAUAAAAUAAUUGCAAACUUCUUUGAAUAAUUAAAUAAAGAUGAAACAUUAAGUUACAAAAGCUAUUCAGUUAAGAGUGAUUUCUUCGUCUUUUUUCUUUGAUUAACAUUAAAAAAAGAGUGCAGGAAUAUUAGACUGCUGUCCCUUUAAGACAUAAUUCAAAGACCCAGUACAUUGAUACUGAUACACAUGCGCUGUCUGUCUGGUUUUUCUCUUAAGACAUAACCUACUAUGUUUGUUAGGAUACUCGCUAAGAUGGGCAUGUUGACAUCAUUUUUGUGUGAAGUUUAGGUGCAAAACUUGAAAGAGAAUUUGCGCAAGAGUAUUUGCGCGCUGUGACGCAGCUCUCCAUGAACGCGCUUCGGAUGAGCGCGCACACAAAUCUCCUCACAGAGCGCGCAAGUUCUCUUUUGCAUCUUACAGAUGAAUGUUUAUAUUGGCAAGGUUUAAAUGAGUUUAGUUUAAACAAAGAUAGCAACGUGAGAUGUUCAGGUCUCACCUGCGCUCGCGCGCUAUCAACACCCGGGUGAUGACGGCUUAAAUGACUGGUCAUAGAGCUUUCGGCACAUCAUUGAACAUUUUUUUACAGUGACUGUUUUGUCCAUGUUGUAACGUAUUGGGAAACCAGAAUACACAUCCAUCGACUGAAACAUACAUUAGCCGAAUCCGUCUGUUUUGCAUGUUGUUUUCAACAAACCAUAUUAUAGAUGCGUCGUCAGAUUUGGGAUGAACUGCGGUGCAAGCGUGUGCCAAACCGUGGGUGGAGAACCAAACGGUUCCAUCCCUAACAGCAACAUACACAGGACAAAUCCAAACAUUAUCCUGAAUGUGUGUGAAAACAACGUGAAUGUACUGAAAUGUGUCUGUGCAUAAAUACAAUGCGAUCAGUGCAUCGAGAGCGCUCAUACAUGAUUUGUUUGCCCAUCAAUCUAACAGACUCACGCGAGCUUAAUGUACGACUCCUGUACGUCGUCACCAUCUUUACUUUGAUUUACUUCAAUCCUCAUCCAUCAAAACUUUCAUAUCAAGAAGCUGGUUUGCUUUAUCCAGCCAAUAAAGCAAACCAUAUCAACAUAGUUCCCUUUCGAUACUUCACUCAUACUGCGUGUGGGGAAAAACUCCUUUUUUCCUCGAUACUGAAGCCUUUUUCAAUAACGCAGUGAAUAACGCAGCGAUAAGCAAUCCCCCAGUUUCACCAAUAUGUAAUAUCUAAAUCAAACUGUAAUAUCCAUGAUGUCCAAAACGUCAGUUUUUCAUAAAUACAAUAAUUGUCUCUGAGAUGGAGUGGAGUUGAAUAAAAUCCUAAAGUAGCCUACUGUACUUUAAAUUUAGACUUAUGCUGCGUUCCAGGCAGGUGUUUGAGCCCGUAAGCCACGACUUCAAACCACGACUCACGACUUUGUAGCGUUCCAGGCAAGUCAAGCCAAACUGCCUGAGUGUAAACAAACCAGCAUGAGGCUUAUGCUCAUGAGGCUUAUGUUCAUUUACUAAUUAAUUUAAUAAUUUUAAUAAUUUAAUUAAAAUGUACUAAUUCAUUUAAUAAUUUUAAUCAUUUAAUAAUUAUUUCUAUCGCCAAAGGUGCUUACUCCUUGCUUAUUCGAGGGAAACGGAGGAGGAAAAAUGGCGCAUAAGGCAAGAGAAGCUGUUAUACCUUUUAUUUUACAUUAUUUUACCAUGCACUUGCAUAAACACCGCAUCCGUAGGGGCUGCCAUUGUUGUUUCGCGGGCUAAGUGACGUCAGAGCGCGGAACUGGGAGUACAUCAAUCUAGUACGAGUUCAAGGGUGGGAAGUCACGGGUUUGAAUACAGAGUAAAUUUAUAAAUAUGAAUGUAUAUAUUUUCACAGUUAACAUUUCAUUUAACAUAAAAAAACAAAUAAGGUUAACUAAUAGUUGCUAAUGAUAUAAAAGUCACAUUAUACAAUUUAACCAUACAUAUUUUACUUGUUUAUAUGGUCCAGUGCCCCAUCGUCACCGGCAGUAAAGCAUGUCAAAACCCAAUAGAAAGUCAUAAAACAUUUCUGCAUCCCUUUCCCUUUUUAAAAUGCAUGCUGUCAGCUGUCUGUCACACAGCCGCUAGCCAUGUAACGACGCUCGGCUCAUUGUUGCCACGUCUGGAAUUGAGCUACUUUUACACUUGUGCCGUGAUUGCGAUUGCCAUUUGGGACAGGGCCAGAGAAGGUGCUUUCUGAGCUUUUUUUCCCAAUGCUUUGAAUUGCCCAGGCCAGAACUGUGGAGAUAAUAUAAAAAGAUGUCAUGUUUCGAGAUUUUUUUGCACAUUCUACUUUGUUAUCCUUAUUAUUUAUAUGUGCGGUGUCUUUGACAGUUUUGUACUUUGAGUAAUGUUUUGAAUAAUGUGUACUUUAGGCCCGGGCUUCCGGGCGCUGCUCGUGCGGCAACUGGCAGCCAAGUACAGAGCUGCGUUCCAUUCGACAAGGUCCCUAUGCGGUGUUCACUGCUCCCUACUCCCUGAGCACGGUAUAUCAAUUGAAGUGGACUUCGCUGACAAUCUUCGCUCAUUUGGAACGCCCUGCAAACGUCAUCAAAGAAAGUCAACGACGGUGUUGCGCAGAUUAUGUUAUAACAUAAAUAAAUAAGUAGAUAUUAUAAUUUACUUUCGAAUUUCAAUUUGACUCUUAACAGAUUUGAAGCUGUAGCUGUCAUGCCAUAUGAAAAUAAAUUCUCAUGGUUAACUGUAUUAAUGUAUUCUUAAUCCAUGGUCUGGGUCUCAUCUCGUGCGCUUUCUUUUCCAUGCGUAGCCGCAUAGUAAACACUCCUGAGGUAAAUAAAGUAAAAUGAAAAAAAAAUGACAGAGCCUCAGCUGCUUUUCAACACUUUUACUUUGUCAUGCCUAUUCAUACAAUAAAAUGCAAAUGUAACACUCAUCGCCAUAACCAUUCAUACUUUUGUUCGUAUAAGAAUAACAAAAUUUAUGAAUACUCAAAAUGCAUACAUAAAUUCCUACAUCGCAGAGCCAUUUAAAAACUCUUUCAAUGGCUCUGCUCCAUCGUAGUUCUGACUGGGGCACGUUCAAGCUCAAACUGGUGCGCAACGUUUUGCUACGGUUUCCGGAUUGAACGACAUGUUUCCUGGAAACGGUGUGCAAUGGUGUGCAACGGGCUUGAGAUACGUUUUCUCUUGUUUGGUGGGUGUGUCAAAAAUGUCAGCCCAAUCAGCAGCAGCAUGUAUAUAAACCACGCGGGAUUAAAGAGACAGCUCGCACAAUGGGUACAAGUAAAGUCGUUUACAAAUGUGUUCUCUUUUAUUCUGAACGACAAGGGCAGUGACUGUAACAUUGAGCGUAUUUUGCAGUAUUAAACACGUAUUUAUACCAAUUUCAUCAGGCUCUGAAAAUUCUUCAAAAAGAACACAAAGAAUGACCUUCUCAGCUGCCAUAGUUGCAAUUACACAGACAGCUAUAGGAUCUAGCAUACCCAAAUUAAACCCAAGUUUGCUGGCUUUUUUAGAAGAGUUAGUUCAUGCGUUCAUGACCUCAAGGAUAGAUUACUGUAACGCUCUGCUGGGUGGUUGUUCUGCUCGCCUGUUAAACAAACUACAACUGGUCCAAAACGCAGCAGCUAGAGUUCUUACUAGAACCAGGAAGUAUGACCAUAUUAACCCGGUUCUGUCAACACUGUAUUGGCUCCCUAUUAAACAUCGUAUAGAUUUUAAAAUUUUGCUACUUACUUACAAAGCACUAAAUGGUUUAGCUAACCAGUAUCUGAGCGAGCUUUUAAUGCAUUAUAGUCCUUCGUGUCUAUUGCGCUCUUAGAAUUCAGACCAGUUGAUAAUACCUAGAAUAUCAAAAUCAACUGCAGGCGGCAGAUCCUUUUCCUAUUUAGCACCUAAACUUUGGAACAGUCUUCCUAUCACUGUUCGGGAAGCAGACACACUCUGUCAGUUUAAAUCUAGACUAAAAACACAUCUGUUUAAACUUGCAUACACAUGAACCAUUAUCUACUUCUAUAAUUCAAAUCAUGUACAUUGUUAGGCUGCAUAGAUUAGGUCAGCUGGAACCGGGAACACUUCCCAUAACACCUGAUGUACAUCAUAAGAAGAACGGCGUCUACGCUAAUGUUAGUCUCUCCCUGUUUAUCCCGAGGUUUGCCGCAGCCUGCCAGAUCCAGGCCGUAUCCAGAUGGGAUGAAGGACCUGCAUCUAGACAUGAUGAUAACCAGCCCUGACGUUUCAACUAAACUAUCCCCUGCGAAGGCCCCCUUCCCUUUCCUUUCCCUAUGUAUAGACAAAACGUUAUCAAAUUAUUCCAGUUUGCAUAGAUCUGCGGACACAACUAAUUUUUCUGUAUUAUGCGGACCAGUAAAGUAAUUUGGCUUAUCUUUUAAUAAAGCUGCAAAUGGAUCCUAACUCUGUUGAUUCAGCGUUACAAAUACAAAUGAAAAAUAAAGAUUUCCCCCUCACACAAUAACCCCACAAAUCAACUUAUAGAUACUGAAAUUAACAAUACCAAAUAAACUAAUACAAAAUGAAAAAAAGAGAAAAAAAAAAUUACUAAUCACUUAUUACUAUACAAACAGAAAAUAGAAAAUGAAAUAGAAACAAUCACUGAUAUAACACACAAACAAAAGGAAAACACCAAUAUCCUUAAACAAUAAACCAAUACAAUACGAAAAAAGGAGAAAAAUACAAUAACAAACAAAACAAGUUCACAUUAACAAAUCUUUACACGGUAACACUAUUUGUAAUGAAGAGGAAAAACCAAAACAAUCAGGCAGACAACGCAUGCUGAGAGGCUGAGGGCUCGUCCAGUCUAUCUGAAGGCAAUGUGCACGUUGGAGGGAUUAACCCGCUUACUGUAAGGCAAUCACUCGUACUGGCUGUGCCUGAAUCAGUCUCACCCAAACCUCCGACUAUACACAAACAGAGAUGCCGCAACAUUGCGAGCAAAUUCUUAAAUACACAUCACAAACGACUUCUACGUACCUCAAUCUAAUGCCAGCCACAGGAUUUCAUCCACCGUGCCGUUCUAAAAAUAAAUUAACAUUAGCUACAAUUUACCACUGACAAUACAGCCAACAUCACACAACAUACCUGAAUGGCGACUAACGUGACAGGAAGAAUGGGGCGGUGACUUGUGAUGCCAUUCCAUCUAACCAGCCAGUUUAUAUACACUUCCGAUGCCCACUGAUAGGGUGAUCAAUGAGCAGACUAACCAACCACAUGCAAGCAGAACUUUACUAGACCUGCCACAUAGUAAUGGGCGAUUUCAAAACACUGCUUCAUGAAGCUUCGAAGUUUUAUGAAUCUUCAUUGUUUCAAAUCAGUGGUUCGGUGCGUGUUUCAAACUGCCAAAGUCACCCCCCCCCCCCCCCCCCCCCCAGAGGUGAACUAUUGAAAUUUCGAAACAUUUAUGGUGUAACGAAGCCUCGUUUACUGAAAUCACGUGACUUUGGCAGUUUGAUACGUGCUAUGAAACACUGAUUCAAAACAAAAGAUUCGUAAAGCUUCGAAGUUUGCUGGAAGCUUGCUUCGAAACCGCUCCUGUUUCAUACUAUCACAAACAGGUAACCAAUCCUGUCAACAUGAGGGGCGGGACUUACUUGAGGUUAAAAGCAUUUGUGGAUGCUGAUUUUUAGAAGGCAGCUGUCUGAUUCUGAGAUGACCAGUAAGAUCAUAAUAUGUAACAUUAGCAACACAUUAUUAGCUGCUUAAUAACUUAGUCAAGCUAAAGACUGUGUAUCCGAUAUUGUAGAGAGCGAUACAAAAAACACAUUACCAUUCGGACAUCGACUUGUAGACAACUCUGUAUAAUUCACUCUCCCUCUUCAGAAUCAGUUUAUUGUUCAAACAUGUCCGAAUUAAACCAAUAUUUCCACUUGCCAUUGUGUAGCGGCAGCAUUUUCUACAGUUACCGAGUGGAUCAGGUAGUCAGAGCUGGUGUGAUUGAGUGGAGCCUGGGUUACUAAAUUAAACACUCAUGGACCCACGUAUACUAAAUGAAGCAAGUGUGUUUAAGUUAAAUUUAAGCUAUUUGAAGCCAUGAAAAAAUUAUUUUCACAGGAAAAAAGUUUAAAUAUGUCAAUUUGAUUAUCAAAGAUGAGUUUUAAAGGAUAAAAUGAUUGACUACAGUGGGACUUUACAGAGCUUGAGCAUUUAAAGCAACAAAAGCACAUGCAUAGAAUAUGCUAAUAUAGUUAUCUUUGUAGUUAUCAUUUGUGGUGUGAAUGGGCCUUAAUGGUGAUACUUCACUGGAUGGCCAGUUUCACAUGUAUUUUGUGUAUUUUUAAAACACAAAACACUGUAUUUGUAUUUAAAUACAUUUUUCCACACAGUAUUUUGUAUUUGUAUUUAAAUACUUUUUUUUCACACAGUAUUUUGUAUUUUACUUUUAAAUACAUUUUCAUGUAUUUAUGCCCAUCUCUGACAACAGCCAAUGAGGAGCGAGGUUUGACGUCACUGCAAACCUAUGUCGUGGUGUUUGAAGCACCAAUUUUGAAAGUUUUAAUGGAUGAGACAGAGGAUAUGUACGAUUAUUAAUGUAUAAUGAUUAUAUUAUGGAAAAAUAAUCUUUUUCUCACACGGUGGUAUUGUUCAACUUCUGAAAACUAAAUGCACAAAAUAAUGGACUAUGUUUAUGGUCAGUUUAUGGUGCGUUUUCAUGUUAUGGUGAGGAGCUUCCCCAUGGGAAACAAAAAAUAAAUGAUGAAGUGCUAAAUAA